AGUGGCGGACGGGUGAGUAACGCGUGAGCAACCUGCCCUUCGGAGGGGGAUAGUGUCUGGAAACGGACAGUAAUACCGCAUAACGUAUUGAUACCGCAUGAUAUUGAUACCAAAACUGAGGUGCCGAAGGAUGGGCUCGCGUUGGAUUAGAUAGUUGGUGGGGUAACGGCCUACCAAGUCGACGAUCCAUAGCCGGACUGAGAGGGUGGACGGCCACAUUGGGACUGAGACACGGCCCAAACUCCUACGGGAGGCAGCAG
rnacentral:rRNA from 1 species